ACGCUCGACACCUACGGAGGCAGCAGUCGGGAAUAUUGCGCAAUGGAGGAAACUCUGACGCAGUGACGCCGCGUGCAGGAAGAAGGUUUUCGGAUUGUAAACUGCUUUAGACAGGGAAGAAAAAGGACAGUACCUGUAGAAUAAGCUCCGGCUAACUACGUGCCUGCAGCCGCGGUAAUCUGAGCGGGCUGGCAAGGC
rnacentral:rRNA from 1 species